rnacentral:rRNA from 1 species
AGUAAAACAAGACUUACUCGCACCUGAACUCAAGCAAGAUGACCCGCUGAACUUAAGCAUAU